rnacentral:lncRNA from 1 species
CGGAGAACGGGGAGGAGAGGAGAGGAGACUUAGAUCAGCAUCAGCAUUCCAGGGGAAGUAUGCUGAAGAGGGAGUUGAUGGACCCACGGACCACUCAGCUCAAAGUGAAUAUCACUAAAGAGAAUCUUAGCGGUGCCCGAGAAAAUAUAGAAAAGAAGGUUUUAUUCAGAUCUGUUGCAAAAAGUACAGGGACCCAGAGCAAGAUUCUACUGGUGGGGAAGAGAGCAGGGCCUCAACACUGCAUGCAGUCAGCAAACUGAAGCUGAUAGCCCAGCCGCAGGUCAGUGUUGGUGAAUGGAAAAUUACUGAGGAGACAGCUUCUGGCUCAACCCAUCUGACAGGAUUCUUGAGGAAGGGUACUCAGACCUGACCCCUGGGGGAUGGUGGAGAUGGAGACUGAUCAGAUAGGAGGGUGGACAGAGACUGGGGACAAGGAAUUCUAACUAAACUGACUUCACAGAGGUCUUUGCCAAACUGGAUUCUCAAGGAAGUUCUCAGAUGGACCUGACAGGCAAUCGGAAGCCUGGCCAGUUUGCCCAAGCAAAGAGUCUUUGUCUACCUUUUGGGGUGGGGGGUGGAGGGGAUGGGGGUGGCUGGAGGUUAACUACAAGACAGGAGUAGAGAAUCCACAGGGCCUGCUGCGCUUGGGAGAUCUGAAAAGGCUGCGGGAGCACUGUAGAAGGUGCUGAGCAGGAAGCCCUGGGGAUAGAUACAGUGGGAGAUCCUGCAGUCGAUAGCGCAGAGAAUACCAGAAAGUUCCUAGUUAGGCUGAGCAGAAACGCAGAGGGGAGUGGGGCAGGCAACAGACAGCGUCAGGGUGGGAAAGGAGGGAGAGACUGAGAUAGAGCGAUUGGUGACCAAAGGCAUUGGAUGACAGGUUUAGAGAUGGAGAGCUAGAAAAUGCGCAUGUCUCAGGGAGCUUGAGAUCCAGUUUCUGGAGUUCACAGUUUAUUUCUAUCUGUAUUAUGUCUCUUCUGGCCUGGAAAAGAAGAAGAGGAACAAAGCCUUGGGGGCGUGGGGAGGGGGACAACGGGACAGCAUGGUACAUUGCCUGCAGGGCCCUGCCUCGGUUAAUUGUUCCCUGAAACUGUGGCGCCCUCUCCUGGUAUAUGGUAUUUACAUACAUGGGCAUCCUGCCCCAGCGUUCAUUUUCUCAGCCAUCACCCAAAGGCAAACGUAGCUGAACGGUUGGAAGCACUUUGUGAGCGCUGGGAGUCCCCUGCAAAGCAAAUGUCAGGACUGGAGCCCACACCAACGGUCUCCCUCUCUUGAACCCGGAAACCAGCCGGAACGUUCUCCUGUGUUGCUGCAGCGUGCAGGGGUGAGAGAGGAUGCGGAUCGGAAACGGAGGCUUGAGGGUAUCCGGCAUCUAGAGGGGAGCGUGGACAUGCCAAGCCCCGCAAACUCUUUGUGAACAGGAAACCCCUAGAAGCGCCCUAACAGCCAGAUUCUGCCCUGCUUUUCUGACACACUCCCUGAUGCCACCAUGGGUGCCAGCUUCUAACUGCUUGGAGAAGCAGGGAAGGCGCACAGAACAGGAACUGGUACUGCCGAAAACAUCCUUUCCAGUUAGGCUGCUGAGUGGGUGGGGUGGCCUCACAGGUGCAGAGCUUCAUCAAGACUGUGGACAACACCAUCCCCAUGGAGCUCAGUUCUGGUGAUGUCACUGAGAACGUCAAAGCCAAAAUCUAAGACAAGACAGGCGCCCCCACCUGACUGGCAGCAAUGGAUGCUCACUCACUGGUCUGCACGAAGCUUGGACGACAACAUGCAGAGCUCUGUCUGCACAGCACCAUCAUUCAGUCUUUCCUGCUCCAGCUUGCCCAGAAACAAAACUGCCCACAGGUCCAUUGAGAGUGUUAGGGCUGCCUGUACUCUGUGUCAUCAAUAGUCACAAGAAGGGUGGACACACUGACAUCUGCUACUAGCUGAAAGUCAAAUAAAGCCUUCCAGAACCUCUUUACUGGGCCCCUAUCACCGCAAGACCUCAGUAAAGUUGCCCUUACAUUGACUGGAGCAAUGAUUAAAAAGUGAAGGUGAAGAUAUAGUUGCUUGUCUGGUGACACUGCAUGCACAAGACAGAAAGGUAGCAUCUCAGCCUCUCACUACCUACCCAUCCCUUGCAUCCUGGAUUGUCCUUCGCUCACAUGAAGCUUCCCUGCCAUUACAAAGGGACAGCUAGUUCUAUCAGACCAACCAGACCUUUCUAAGGAGAAGGAAUCGGGGAGCAAGGCACAGUUCUCAGGUGCUCAGGGAGUGCAGGUGGAGGCCUUGUACCUCCUGGUCACGAAGACAUACUGUGGACAACAAAUCAG